CUUGAGUUAGAGACCAAAGGUCUGGUCCUGUCCAUAGCUGCUGUCGAAGAGUCAGGUCCGCUUGUAGUGUUUGUGUUUGAGAAGUCGUUGUCAAAGGUCCUAGUGUUCCUGUUUGUGUAGUCGUCUUUGGUUGUAGUGUCGGCUGCCUGGGAGAGAACAUUAAGGAUGAACGUUUCAGGAGUACUUAUCGGUCUGCUACUGUCAGUUGCCAGCUGCUCAGCUAAUAACGGUGCCAGAGCCCCUGUGACAAAGACUAGAACUCUCCAACCCUGGCUAGUUGGUCUGGCAGCUGUGGCUGGCUUCCUCUUCAUCGUCUUCAUCAUGCUUAUUGCUAAAAGACUGAUGAAGAAAAACAGGGGAGAGGAAGAACAGGAGAAGGAAGGAAUCCACAAAGUGGUUGAAGAAGUGAUGGAUGAAGAUGAAAAACAAACCAGCUUUUAGGCUCACAGCAGAGCGAAAAUAUCAUCUGGAUUUCUCUCAGUGAAUGCCAUCCCAAGCUACCAUCUAAAUCUCUCACUAUAUAACCAGAACUGUGUCAAUGUUGUUGAUGUUAUUACGUUAGCGGAUGAAUGGGUACUCAGCAAGGAUUGAGACAUAACCUGGUGAUGAUAAUCACCAGGUUAUGAUAAUAGUUCAACGAGCAAUUUACAAAGUGGCCUGUCUCGCAACCUUGUUUUGCUUUGUUUGACCACUAGAGGAAGCCACAACACCAAUCUGUUAUAUUAAAACAUACAUGCCUGUAUUGAUUAUUCCAUCUCCAUACAGUUAAUUGGCUAUUAGUUCAAAUGCAUGUGAUAUGUCAAUAUUUUGUGAAUUUGAAAAAGCUCAUGGACAUAUACAAAAGCAUUGUUUAGCUUUAGUCAGACUUCCCACUAAAACCAACCAGAAGAAUGCAAUCGUUUGACCAUUUUUUUAACCUUGAGUUUAGUAAAACAGCAAAUCCUUUAAGAAAGCAAAACAUAGCAACAAAUGCUCAAAUGUAUUCUAUUUAUGUGUGCCAAAGGGUAGCCUUGAGGACAAACAAAGACUGAGGUGAACCACCUUGAAUCUUUCUGUCAGGGUGUGACAGGUGGCCUUUGAUCCCAGUGGGCACUGAGAAGGUCUGACCAGUAGAUGCAUGAUUGGUAUUCCCUUUUAUAAAUCAAAUGAAACCUA